UUCGUUGUAGCACCAUUUACCGCAAUACUAUUGAUUCUCGUUUCGGCUGGCAUUUUCACAAACACCUGAGGGUCACUACUCAUCCGCUUGACCGCAGCAUUUGACACAUUGAUGGCCGCCAUCCGAAUUGUUAGACUCGCUGCCGUUUUUCAGAUGAAUGAUCCGCUUUUCUGCUUGGACAAGUCUCCGUAUUUGUCGGUGAGAAUCAUCAAUUGGUGGUCGAAGAAUCAGCAUCGAUUUAUGACCAGCAGUAAGCGUGUGCAAGACCGAAGCAAGAACAAACGGGUCGAUCUGGAAAUCGCAACCGAGAAGUUGAAGAUAGCGAGCAAGGUCCUCUUUUUGAUGGAGAUUCUAAAGAAAGAGCCCGAGAUGAUCAUCCCGCUGCGCUCACUGGACCAGUACCGGAGGCAGAUUAACCUCCCAAAGCCCCACAAGAUCUCCGACUUCGUUCGCAAAGUACCGAAACUCUUUGAACUCUACAAGGACCGAAACGGCGUGGUAUGGUUCGGAAUGACGAAGCAGGCCGAGGACUUGGUCGAAGAGGAGGAGAGAAUAAUCGAGGAGAACCAAGACAAGGCCGCCGAGCAUGUCACGAGGUUUCUAAUGAUGUCCGUGGAUAAACGUCUUCGUAUAGACAAGAUUGCGCAUUUCCGAAGAGACUUUGGCUUGCCAAUUGAUUUUCGGACCAACUGGGCGCACAAGUAUCCUCAGUUGUUUAAGGUAAUCAAGUGUAAUGACGAGGAUGAGAAUGAGUAUUUGGAACUUGUUUCCUGGAACCCAGCUUGGGCUAUUACUGAGUUGGAGAAGAAGGCAAUGGCGGUGAGUGUGAGUGAGGUUAAUAUCAAUGCUCAUACUCCGGGACUGCUUUCGCUUCCUUUUCCUUUGAAAUUCCCUUCCACUUACAAGAAAGUGUAUAGAUAUGGAGGAAAGAUUGAGCACUUUCAGAAGAGGUCUUAUUUGUCCCCAUACGCGGAUGCUCGGGGACUUAAACCUGGCUCUCUAGAGUUUGACAAGAGAGCCGUAGCCGUUAUGCACGAGCUGCUAAGCUUCACUAUUGAGAAGAGACUAGUGACUGAUCAUCUCACGCAUUUUCGCCAGGAACUUGUGAUGCCCCAGAAGCUGAUGAGGCUUCUUUUGAAGCACUUUGGGAUUUUCUAUGUCUCGGAGAGGGGGAAGAGGUUUAGUGUCUUCUUGACAGAAGGUUAUGAAGGUUCGGAGCUCAUUGAGAAAGGGCCGUUAGUGCUUUGGAAGGAAAAAGUCCAGGGUCUUAUUGGUUACAGGGGAAGGAAGAAGAAGAUUGAAACUUUUAGUGACAUGUCAGACGUGGAAGAUGAUGGUCGGUUCGAGAAUGAUUCUGAGGAUGAAAACAUUGGUAUGCAAUUUGAGCUAAAGGAUACCGUCGGCAGUUUGGAGGAGGAUGCUUUGCUUAGAGACAAUGAUGAGAUGGAGAUUGGAGAGGUUUGCAGUGCAUACGAGGAUACUGAAGCAUCUUGAGAUUUUCCACAUGUUCUUUCAAAUUUAUUCCUCUAUGGUACUGGAGGAAAGCAAUGGAGACCAACAAAUUGAUGUUAAGAAUCAGAGUUGCGGGUAUGCAUUCAGAAACAGUUAAUACUCCACAUGAAGCAGAAAAAAUCCAACUUACAGUGUUGAAGGUAUUCAUGUUGCUGUUUUCACAGGAAAAUGCUGUCCUUCAUUUCCAAAACACAAACAGUCAAUCCAUGAAUUCAUUUGAAGUCCAGUGAUUGGGCAAACAGCUUCUGCCAAUUCUACCCAGUGAUUUUAUCAUUGCAUCUAAAUAUGUUGAUCUGCAAAGUAGGGCUUCUCAUUUAAAGUUCAGUGCCAAAACCUCCUUGCAAGUCGAAUCAAGCUAUUAUCAAAGGUGCAAAUCACCUACUUGCUAUAAUGGCAUCAGGCUGGCUUGAGGAACAUUUUUUUGGAGAGGUUAUGAGCUUGGUCCACCCAUACUGUGCAAUAUUAUUCUUGGAUGUAGUAAAAGUAUUAGGUUAAUUGUCCUUCGGCAGUAAGACACAAAUUGAGAAUAUCAUGCUAUUGAUUGUUCCAAAA